ACGAACGCUGGCGGCGUGCCUAAUACAUGCAAGUCGAGCGGAUCUCGAGGGGGCUUGCCCCUUGAGAUUAGCGGCGGACGGGUGAGUAACACGUGGGCAACCUGCCUGUAAGACUGGGAUAACACCGGGAAACCGGUGCUAAUACCGGAUAAUUCAUUUCCUCUCAUGAGGGAAUGCUGAAAGUCGGUUUCGGCUGACACUUACAGAUGGGCCCGCGGCGCAUUAGCUAGUUGGUGAGGUAACGGCUCACCAAGGCGACGAUGCGUAGCCGACCUGAGAGGGUGAUCGGCCACACUGGGACUGAGACACGGCCCAGACUCCUACGGGAGGCAGCAGUAGGGAAUCUUCCGCAAUGGACGAAAGUCUGACGGAGCAACGCCGCGUGAGUGAUGAAGGCCUUCGGGUCGUAAAACUCUGUUGUCAGGGAAGAACAAGUAUCGGAGUAACUGCCGGUACCUUGACGGUACCUGACCAGAAAGCCACGGCUAACUACGUG
rnacentral:rRNA from 1 species